rnacentral:misc_RNA from 1 species
GAACGCACAUUGCGCCCGCUAGUAUUCUGGCGGGCAUGCCUGUUCGAGCGUCAUUUCAACCAUCAAGCCCCCGGCUUGCGUUGGAGCCCUGCGGCUGCCGCAGGCUCCCAAAUCCAGUGGCGGGCUCGUCGUCGUACCGAGUGCAGUAAACAUCCCCGCUCAGGGAACGCGGCGGGUUCUUGCCGUGAAACCCCCCCCCCACAUCAAGGUUGACCUCGGAUCAGGUAGGAAUACCCGCUGAACUUA